GGGGUAUUUUUGCUGUUUCUCAGGUGUUUCCCAGGUGUUUCCAACUGGCUUCCAGCUGUUUUUGGGGGUAUUUUGGGUGUUUCCAGCUGUUCCCAGCUGAUACUGGUAUUCCCAGCCGAUUUUUGGGGUAUUUUCCAGGGUUUGGGGGUAUUUUGGGGGAUUUCCAGGUGUUUUUCAGGAUUCCACCUGAUUUUUUUUGGUAUUUGGGGUGUUUCCAGCUGUUUCUCAUGUGUUUCCCAGGAAUUUUUGGCUGUUUCUCAGGUGUUUCCAGCUGUUUUUUGGGGUAUUUCAGGUGUUUCCACCUAUUUUUCAUGUGUUUCCCAGGUAUUUCCAGCUGGUUUUUGGGUGUCUCCAGCUGUUCCCCAGCUGUUGCCCAGCUGUUCCAGGUGACGUUGCCAUUCCCAGCCAGUUUUUGAGGUGUUUUUGGGUACUUUGGGUGUGUCCAGCUGUUCCCCAGCUGUUCCAGGUGACGUUGCCGUUCCCAGCCGUUUUUUGGGUUGUUUUUUGGGUGUUUUUUGGGUGUUUUUGGGUGUUUGGCGCCCCCCUCAGGCGCGCAGCAGCUGCUGCAGGUGCGCCCCGAGCGGCAGCGCCCCCCAGCGGCUGAAGAGGCGCAGAGCAGCCUCGGCCAAUCGGAACCGCAGCCAGUCCAG